UCCUCCACCUGCUGCGGACAGAUGAAAUGGAUAUGCGCAUCGAUGCCGCCGGCGGUGAUGAUUUUCCCUUCACCGGCGAUGAUUUCGGUCCCCGGCCCGAUAAUAAUGGUGACCCGCGGCUGGAUGUCCGGGUUGCCGGCCUUGCCGAUGCCGCUGAUGCGGCCCUGGGUGAUGCCGAUAUCGGCCUUCACGAUGCCCCAAUGGUCGAUGAUCAGCGCAUUGGUGAUCACGGUAUCCGCCGCACCCUCGGCCUGGCUGCGCUGGGACUGGCCCAUGCCGUCGCGGA
rnacentral:sRNA from 1 species